UCACUGCAGCCUGGAGUUGUCGGUCGGGGAGUUUGACUUGGGCGGUACGUCUGUCAAACGGUAACGCAGGGGUCCCAAGGCGAGCUCAGCGUGGACGGAAACCACA